CCCGCCGGCGACCGGCGCACGGGUGAGUAACACGUAUGCAACCUGGCCGCCACACGGGGGAUAACCCGCGGAAACGCGGCCUAAUACCCCGUGACGCCACCGGAGGGCAUCCUCCCGGGUGGCCAAAGGAGCGAUCCGGUGGCGGAUGGGCAUGCGGCGCAUUAGCUAGACGGCGGGGUGACGGCCCACCGUGGCGACGAUGCGUAGGGGUUCUGAGAGGAAGGACCCCCCACACUGGGACUGAGACACGGCCCAGACUCCUACGGGAGGCAGCAG
rnacentral:rRNA from 1 species